GUUAAUCUAGUUUAUAAAAAAUAAAAGCUUGUCAAGCUUUAGAAACAAAUAUUUGUGAUUGAU
rnacentral:tRNA from 1 species